UACGGGGGGGCAAGCGUUGUUCGGAUUUACUGGGCGUAAAGGGCUCGUAGGUGGCCAAUUAAGUCAGGCGUGAAAUCCCCAGGCUCAACUUGGGAACUGCGUCUGAUACUGGUUGGCUUGAAUUCGGGAGAGGGAUGCAGAAUUCCAGGUGUAGCGGUGAAAUGCGUAGAUAUCUGGAGGAAUACCGGUGGCGAAGGCGGCAUCCUGGACCGAGAUUGACACUGAGGAGCGAAAGCCAGGGGAGCAAACGGG
rnacentral:rRNA from 1 species